GCCUCGUUAGCGCAGUAGGCAGCGCGUCAGUCUCAUAAUGGAAUGUAGAAAUCUGAAUGUCGCGAGUUCGAUCCUCACACGGGGCA
rfam:Nematostella vectensis strain CH2 x CH6 NEMVEscaffold_1295_Cont35582, whole genome shotgun sequence.